rnacentral:rRNA from 1 species
GACGUAGGGUGCAAGCGUUGUCCGGAUUUACUGGGCGUAAAGCGUGCGCAGGCGGCUUUGCAAGACAGAUGUGAAAUCCCCGGGCUUAACCUGGGAACUGCAUUUGUGACUGCAUGGCUGGAGUGCGGCAGAGGGGGAUGGAAUUCCGCGUGUAGCAGUGAAAUGCGUAGAUAUGCGGAGGAACACCGAUGGCGAAGGCAAUCCCCUGGGCCUGCACUGACGCUCAUGCACGAAAGCGUGGGGAGCAAACAGG